GCCAAAAUACCAGAGUAUGCAGUAUGCAAUGAUUCCUUUUUUAUUGGACUAACAUAAUAUUUCAAAGACUUUGUCUUUUAAAUAUUAAGUUAGUCCAAUAAAAAAGGUAUCAUUGCAUACUGCAAUACGCUGGUAUUUUGGC